CCUACGGGAGGCAGCAGUAGGGAAUUUUCGUCAAUGGGGGGAACCCUGACCGAGCAACGCCGCGUGAACGAAGACUUUACUCGUAAUUUAAAGUUCUUUUAACAGGGAAGAAAGAGAAAUUAGAUGGUACCUUAAGACUAAGCUCCGUGUAACUAGGUGCCAGAAGCCGCGGUAAUAAGUAGGGGGCGUGCGUUAUCCGGAAUUAUUGGGCGUAAAGGGUGCGUAGAUGGCAUAGAAAGUAUGUUGUAAAAAUGCGGGGCUCAACCCAGUAGGGCAAAAGAUACUGCAAAGCUAGAGUAUGACAGAGGCAAGUGGAACUACAUGUGUAGCGGUAAAAUGCGUAAAUAUAUGUAAGAACACCAGUGGCGAAGGCGGCUUGCUGGGUCGAUACUGACAUUGAGGCACGAAAGCGUGGGGAGCAAACAGGAUUAGAUACCCUUGUAGUC
rnacentral:rRNA from 1 species